GAUGAACGCUGGCGGCGUGCUUAACACAUGCAAGUCGAACGAUGAAGCCUAGCUUGCUGGGUGGAAGAGUGGCGAACGGGUGAGUAACACGUGAGUAACCUGCCCCUGACUCUGGGAUAAGCGCUAGAAAUGGCGUCUAAUACUGGAUAUGACCUAUCACCGCAUGGUGUGUGGGUGGAAAGAUUUAUCGGUUGGGGAUGGACUCGCGGCCUAUCAGCUUGUUGGUGAGGUAAUGGCUCACCAAGGCGACGACGGGUAGCCGGCCUGAGAGGGUGACCGGCCACACUGGGACUGAGACACGGCCAAGACUCCUACGGGAGGCAGCAGUGGGGAAUAUUGCACAAUGGGCGCAAGCCUGAUGCAGCAACGCCGCGUGAGGGAUGACGGCCUUCGGGUUGUAAACCUCUUUUAGUAGGGAAGAGGCGAAAGUGACGGUACCUGCAGAAAAAGCACCGGCUAACUACGUGCCAGCCGCCGCCGUAA
rnacentral:rRNA from 1 species